rnacentral:rRNA from 1 species
AGAGUUUGAUCCUGGCUCAGAUUGAACGCUGGCGGUAGGCUUAACACAUGCAAGUCGUGCGAGAAAGUACCUUCGGGUGCGAGUAGAGCGGCGGACGGGUGAGUAACGCGUAGGAAUCUACCUAGUAGAAGGGGAUAGCCCGGGGAAACUCGGAUUAAUACCGUAUACCUCCUUAGGGAGAAAGAGGGCUUAGCUUUGAUGCUCUCGCUAUUAGAUGAGCCUGCGUAAGAUUAGCUUGUUGGUGAGGUAAUGGCUCACCAAGGCGACGAUCUUUAGCUGGUCUGAGAGGACGAUCAGCCACAUUGGGACUGAGACACGGCCCAGACUCCUACGGGAGGCAGCAGUGGGGAAUAUUGGACAAUGGGCGCAAGCCUGAUCCAGCCAUACCGCGUGUGUGAAGAAGGCUUUCGGGUUGUAAAGCACUUUAAGUAAGGAGGAAAAGAUUGUAGUUAAUACCUGCAAUCCGUGACGUUACUUACAGAAUAAGGACCGGCUAAUUCCGUGCCAGCAGCCGCGGUAAUACGGAAGGUCCAAGCGUUAAUCGGAAUUACUGGGCGUAAAGCGCGCGUAGGUGGUUUUUUAAGUUGGAUGUGAAAGCCCUGGGCUCAACCUAGAACUGCAUCCAAAACUAGAUGACUAGAGUACGAAAGAGGGAAGUAGAAUUCACAGUGUAGCGGUGGAAUGCGUAGAUAUUGUGAAGAAUACCAAUGGCGAAGCAGCUUCCUGGUUCUGUACUGACACUGAGUGCGAAAGCGUGGUAGCGAACAGAUUAGAUACCCUGGUAG